UUAGAUUUCCAAUAAAAUCUCGAGGAAUUAGUAGUAUCAACUAAUUUUCCCAUCAAAACGUUUGUUUUCACACUAGUUUCCUUAAUGCUAUAUAAAUUUCUUAAACAUUUGAGACUAUAUUUCUUUAGUUUAGAGGAAACGUUACGGCAAUUAGUAAGCUUUUUUCUAAUAAAUUCAUGUCAUGACUUUUUUCUUUCAUGCAUUCGGCAUUUUCGAUUCGCCAAAAUCCAGAGUAAACAAAACUAACUAUUUAUGUUUCAAAAAGAUAAAUGUUUAAACGGUUCUUUGAAGUCUAACUUCGGCUCAGUUUUCCACUAAAUUUAUGUCAUGACUUUUUUUCUUUCAUGCAUUUGGCAUUUUCGAUUCGCCAAAAUCGAGAGUAAACAAAACUAACUAUUUCUGUUUCAAAAAGAUAAAUGUUUAAACGUUUCUUUGAAGUCUAACUUCGGCUCAGUUUUCC
rnacentral:lncRNA from 1 species